UUUAUGCCAUGCAGCAGUUGA
rnacentral:piRNA from 1 species